rnacentral:tRNA from 1 species
CGUUCUAUGGCCGAAUUGGUAAAGGCAUCGCCGAUCACAGGCGAGGCUGCGGGUUCGAGUCCCGCUGGAACGG